AACUGAUACUACCUGCGGGAACCUGCGGAGGGAUCAUUAAAGCGAGAGUCCAACAGUGCGCUGGAGGACUCUCAAUAGAAACGGGUGUGAACAGCCGCAAGUUAACUUGACCAAAGGUGCCAUCGCGCGCUCCUUUGGUUUUUCGGCUGUUCGCAUGUCUGAAUCCGUGUCUUGUGUACCAACUGUUUCCUCGGCGGGCUCGCUCGCCAAUGGGGACCAACUCAAACGCUUUGUUGUAGU
rnacentral:misc_RNA from 1 species